ensembl:lncRNA
GAGCUCACAAGUGGAAUGUUCUCAGCUGCUGGGGCUGAGCUGCUUUGCUGUCACUUAGCCUUGCCGGGUUAACCCUCAGCGGGUUGAUUCCACACUGGCUGGCCGCCCCCCACCCCGUCUGUCCAGGCCCUGCAGACUGGGGGCUGUUGGGGUGGCUGUGAUGAGUUCUCUGCCUCUGCUCACUCGGAGGACGGGCUGAGUUGAUCUCCUCCUGCCUGAGUCGGAAAAUGUAACGAGCAAUGAUGCUGACAAAAAAGAUAAGAAACCCGCUUUGGAAGCAGGUCAACCUGAGGUUCCGCCAACUCCAGCGUCAAAGCCCCGGUGACAGUCUUGGAGAGAGAUGCCCUGGGGACCCUCAGUCCAGACAGCCCUCACCUUCUAAACUGUGAACAGGAGACCCACCCCAGCCCAGAUGCCAACACGUGGGUUCCCUGCUCACAGCCCCAGCCGGGAACCCGCACCCUCGCUGCCUGGCUCCCGUA